rnacentral:rRNA from 1 species
UACAGAGGUCUCAAGCGUUGUUCGGAUUCAUUGGGCGUAAAGGGUGCGUAGGCUGUAAGGUAAGUUGGAUGUGAAAUCCCGGGGCUUAACCCCGGAACUGCAUUCAAUACUGCCAUACUAGAGUACUGGAGAGGAGAUUGGAAUUCACGGUGUAGCAGUGAAAUGCGUAGAUAUCGUGAGGAAGACCAGUGGCGAAGGCGAAUCUCUGGACAGUUACUGACGCUGAGGCACGAAGGCCAGGGAGCAAACGGG